CCAAGGAGUCUAAUUAGGCAUCGAGUCGAUCGGUCUUGAUAGGCCAGAUAGUUGGUACUUGUUACUCAAUGAAUGAAGGCGUAGAGAAAUCAAAUCAUGUGAUCGCCGGUGGUUAUACCAAGCCAUGGCGCGCAACAUGUGCCUGUUCUCAAGAGAAUGUUAGCAAUAACUUUUCGAGCGGAGCAAAGAGAUGCCUGAUUGGUACCCGAAAGAUGGUGAACUAUGCCUGGGCAAAUUGAAGCCAGAGGAAACUCUGGUGGAGGAUUGUAGCGAUUCUGACGUGCAAAUCGAUCGUCAGACCUGGGUAUAGGGGCGAAAGACUAAUCGAACCAUC
rnacentral:rRNA from 1 species